CUGUGGAUAGGGUCAAAGGUAUUGACUGAUUAAGGAGGUUAUAUAGGCACCUGCUUAUGACGGAUGGAGCCAUAAAGAAGGGUAUGGAGAAACCCUUUAUUAUACAGGUCAUGGAGAAGGCCUGUCGCCCUCCUUAAGUGACAAUGUUUGCCCGUACUUCGUAGUAAGGACUACUAGCUGUCUAUAACAGUGUUAUUACCAGCCAUGUGUUCCAAUGCUGGUAAUAGGUCUGGUGAGUAGCUUUAGCUCUUAAUCCAGACUUAGAAGCUAUAACCUACUCGUAGCCUCUUGGUGAACAGGCAACAUAUAGGUGAGGCUUCUAUUGAAGGAGUGUUCAUGUUUUCAUUUACUCCUGAUCUAUCGUAAUCUUAUAGGUGCCUCACCAUCGAUUUAGAGAUUGAAGGUGCCUGUUAUAGUUGAUGCGUAAAACAUCAGAUGCUUCUCCGCGGAGCAUCUCAAUCCAUCAAUGUGACUGCUUCUUUAGAAAUGUGGAGGUCAAACUUCUGCAACUUGUAAAGUCUACACAGACAUUCCUGAGCCUAACUUUUAACAGCUCAGGUUUACUGACCUAUGCUCCAAUCUAGAAGCGUCCCUUAGAUGAUUGUGAUAGAAGGUCUAGCUUUUACAUACCUCGCUCUUGAAACAAGUGUCUUGAAUUCUCCAAUUAUCCUCUUGAGAGGUGGAUCUUGGAUAAUGAAGCUCUUCUCAAUGAUCGAGGGACAAACGACCUCAUAACCCCUUUCUUAAGUCCACUAGGUAUUGCUCCGUGUAGGGAGUGUUGAGGCUUAAGACAGAGCUUAGAGGUCAACGUCUAGCCUUGUUUGAGCUAGCAUCGUCAUAGUCUUAACACGGGUAGGUCCAAAAGCACCGAGAGACCAACUCCUGAUUCAACCCAGACACAGUCGGCCAGAUCAGGAGCAUAAGUCUCUAAUAGAGCCUUAAGUGUAAGAUCUAAGGAUGAGUCUAAGAGUAUGUUUAAGUAGCCUGUCUUUAAGCGCUUGUAGGUUCUACAAGCCAGAUCCUUGCAGCGACUACAUUAAAACCUCUCUCAACCCUUAACCCUUACAUUGACAGGUCUCUUAAGAAUGUUCUUUGAGCAUUCUCGGUAGUCGUCAAUGCUCCCGUUUUGACACCGAUUGGUUAAGCCUUACAUAGUGAUGACGCUGCGUUUCUCUCAGUGAAUGAUUGGUGAGACUUAAAGUGAUCGAAGCGCCCACUCACUUAUAAGUCCUUAGGGCAAAGGUCUUGUAUGUUAAGUCGUUUAGAGAGAGAGCUAAUGUCUCGACCUGCUUUACAUGUAUGAGUAACAACCUGUCCUGAGACGUGUAGUGUACUCCUAAUCAUGAAAUGCUAGGGCAUCUGGACUUAGUCUUAAGAUCCAAUCCUUCCCUAUCAGAGGAGUCCAAGGCUACCCUUGAACUGGUUAUCCAGGGGUAAGAGGCCUGUUUAUUAGGCUAAUCCUCUUCCUCAUCAACCAUUGAAAGGUGAGUCUUUGAAGGCUAUUAACAGAGGCUUGAUAAGCUGGGAGUUAGGAUGAGUCUUUACGAGCUGAGUUAUAGGGUACUCUGUUGCUUCUUUCACUCAGAUUGGAGGGUCUCAUCCUCAUGAGUCAUUUAACCGAGGAUGUACUCUGUUGCUUUGAAGGUGAAAUGAGGAUUGUCCCGGCCCCAUAAGUUAUUUAUAAGGAAGUACUCUGUUGCUUUCGCAAUCAAUGAUGUUGGUCAAUACUCCAUAAGAUCUGGGUAAGGAUGGACUCUGUUCCCUUUGCAACUCAGGUCGUAAUGUCAUAGCCUCCUGGAAACAGACCCAAAGAUGGACUCUGUUCCCUUUGCAGGGUAUGAUGUAAGGAUCACCUGCGUUUGGGUGGUUAGUUCGUCGAUUAUGCCUCAAAGAGACAUGAGCUUUACACAUAAAGUCUAGUAAUCGCUAAAGAGGUUAUCCUCUUUAGGAUGAUACACAGGUCUUCGUACAGGUAAGUCAAGUUAUAACGUAUGCCGACAGUUUACAUGGAGGAUGUUGUUCGUGGCAGUAGUUAAAAGCCUUCCAGGUGCGUCUAAGAGACAAGUUCUUAAACCAGUCUCCAGUACAAGUAUGUGAGCUUAAACUGCCCAGUCUUAGUCUUACCUGGAGAAGCUGCGUAGCGGUGGCUCUUACAUCCUUGUAUUACCAGCUUUCAGGUGUAACGACACUCCUCUUAAGGGUAAGGAGGGUGGGCUAGGUUU
rnacentral:rRNA from 1 species